rnacentral:rRNA from 1 species
UACGGAGGAUGCGAGCGUUAUCCGGAUUUAUUGGGUUUAAAGGGUGCGUAGGCGGACGCUUAAGUCAGCGGUAAAAUUGCGGGGCUCAACCUCGUCGAGCCGUUGAAACUGGGUGCCUUGAGUGGGCGAGAAGUACGCGGAAUGCGUGGUGUAGCGGUGAAAUGCAUAGAUAUCACGCAGAACUCCGAUUGCGAUGGCAGCGUACCGGCGCCCAACUGACGCUGAAGCACGAAGGCGUGGGUAUCGAACAGG